rnacentral:rRNA from 1 species
GAUGAACGCUGGCUACAGGCUUAACACAUGCCAGUCGAGGGGAAACGACGGGGAAGCUUGCUUCCCCGGGCGUCGACCGGCGCACGGGUGAGUAACGCGUAUCCAACCUGCCUCUGACUGAGGGAUAACCCGUCGAAAGUCGGCCUAAUACCUCAUGGCAUCGUCUGCGGGCAUCCAACGACGAUUAAAGAUUUCAUCGGUCAGGGAUGGGGAUGCGUCUGAUUAGCUUGUUGGCGGGGUAACGGCCCACCAAGGCUACGAUCAGUAGGGGUUCUGAGAGGAAGGUCCCCCACAUUGGAACUGAGGCACGGUCCAAACUCCUACGGGAGGCAGCAGUGAGGAAUAUUGGUCAAUGGGCGGGAGCCUGAACCAGCCAAGUAGCGUGCAGGAUGACGGCCCUAUGGGUUGUAAACUGCUUUUAUGCGGGGAUAAAGUGAGGGACGUGUCCUUCAUUGCAGGUACCGCAUGAAUAAGGACCGGCUAAUUCCGUG